rnacentral:rRNA from 1 species
GGCGGUCUGUCAAGUCGGCGGUGAAAACAGCAUGCUAAACAUGGUGCUUGCCGUCGAGACUGGUGGGCUUGAAUGUGGAUGAUGCCGGCGGAAUGUGUAAAGUAGCGGUGAAAUGCAUAGAUAUUACACAGAAGGUCGAUUGCGAAAGCAGCUGGCAAAGGCACUAUUGACGCUGAGGCACGAAAGUGCGGGGAUCGAACAGGAUUAGAUACCCUGGUAGUCCGCACAGUAAACGAUGAUAACUAACUGUCGGCGAUACACAGUCGGUGGUAAAGAGAAAUCGAUAAGUUAUCCACCUGGGGAGUACGACCGCAAGGUUGAAACUCAAAGGAAUUGACGGGGGCCCGCACAAGCGGAGGAGCAUGUGGUUUAAUUCGAUGAUACGCGAGGAACCUUACCUGGGCUAGAACGUAGAGUGACUGUGGGUGAAAGCCUACUUCCCUUCGGGGCAGUCUACGAGGUGCUGCAUGGUUGUCGUCAGCUCGUGCCGUGAGGUGUCGGGUUAAGUCCCAUAACGAGCGCAACCCCUAUCUUUAGUUGCCAACAGGUCAAGCUGGGGACUCUAAAGAAACUGCCUACGCAAGUAGUGAGAAAGGUGGGGAUGACGUCAAAUCAGCACGGCCCUUACGUCCAGGGCUACACACGUGCUACAAUGGCCGAUACAGAGGGCAGCUACCAGGUGACUGGAUGCAAAUCUCCAAAGUCGGUCUCAGUUCGGAUCGGAGUCUGCAACCCGACUCCGUGAAGUUGGAUUCGCUAGUAAUCGCGCAUCAGCCAUGGCGCGGUGAAUACGUUCCCGGGCCUUGUACACACCGCCCGU